AUUAUCUUCUGUGGUUCUAGGGUUGGCGGGUUCAGCUGGGUCGUCAUCACUUGGGUCUUUCAGCCACUCUGUAGCUGGGGCUGGAGUGGUUUCAAAGGCUUUCUGGCUCAUGUAUGGCUGUCAUCUGGGUCCAGGACAUGAUUCACAAAGUUCAGGGCAAAACGAAGACACUGACCCUUUGUUCAGUAAUUAUUAUGACUUCCAAGAUAGCAGAGUCCUUCUGAGCUGGGAGCCUUGGAAAAGUGCAUGAGCUGAACCCCCACAAGGCCCACCCUGUGUGGUCUGCAGUGGGGUCUGUGACCAAAUAACUGCCCAUGGCCCCUCCAUAGGGCGUAGGCUUCCUCACAUCAUGGCGGCUGAUCCAAGGGUGAGCAUCAGAGACAAAGCCAAGUGGAUACUGUGUCGACUUUUAUGACAGCUCUGCCACAUUCUGUUUCUUAGAAGUGUGUCACUAAGGCCAUAUUCAAGGGGAGGAAGAUUGUAGUCCAGCUCCUGAUGGGAGGAGUCAAAGAAUUUGUGGAUGAGCUUUAAAACCAUCAUAGGAGGGUCAGUGAAGAUUGGCCUGGCUCUGAUGCCUUCACUCAUCUCUAUUUUGGUGAUGGGGGGAGUGUGACCUCUAAUCUUCCUGUGGGACUAUGGACUUGUUACCUAGCCUCUCUGGGCCUGAGUUUUCCCAUCUGUAAAAUGUGAUGACAGUACCCACUAAUGUCAGUCUGCUGCAGAUCAUAUGGCUCCGAUGGACCUGGUGCAGNNNGACGUCCUAGCAGUGACCUCUGCACCAGCCUUUUGGUUCUGCCUUCUUUCCUUCCUGCUCCCACCACUUUGUUUCCUGACCAGAUCCAACCCUCCUGACAGGAUUUUAGAGCCAAGAUGCAUAGAGUUUAUGGGCGUUGCGAUGCUCGGCCAGCACUCAUGGACACCACCCUGUCCCCAGCUCUCCCAUGGUCUCUUGCCCAGAGUUCUCAGAGCACCAUACAGAGCCAGAGAAAAGAAGCAGUGAGUGAGGAUGACUCUGCUGAGGAGGACCCCGUGGAGGACCUCAGGGGACAGGCACAGAGGCUCCAUCAAUAGGACAAGAACUCCCCAGUCGGGAGAUGGGGCUCACACUGGACCCUCACAGGCUCUGCCGUGUGCAAAUCACGUGUUUUCUGAGUCCCGGUUUCCUCAUCUGUACGACAGGGAUCAUAUCCCUUGGCUCACAGGCUGCCCUGGGGACCAAGGUGCCCAGCAGGUGCUCAGUAAACAUGGGUGCCUCUCACCCUAACUCGUACUGGGUCUCAUUUCCUGUCUUAUGACCAGGGCUCCAGCGUGUUUAAGCCUGUGUUAAUGUUGAGAGUUUGGUGUGUUACUGAACCAAACUCAGGUUCACUUGCCUGUAUGUGGUGAAGUCACUUUACUGACACCAGGCUGUGGUGAAGGAAAGUGAAGUGCUUAUUGCAGGUGUGUGGCUGAGUCCUGGGCAGCUGGUGCUCAAAAGGCCUGAACUCCCCAUGGCUUUCAGAGGACGGUUUUUAAAGACAAAGGGAGGGAGGGUGGCUGUGGGGUGUGACCUUGGGACCAGGGACAUAUCACCAAAGUAGAGGGUGAGACUACAGACUCUGCUGGCUACCUGCAGGAGCCCUCUGGGUAUGCACAUUUGGGGAGAAGACCCCUCAUAGUGUGGGGGGUCAUCUGAGCACUGGGUCACUCAGGGCUCAGCACACCUCCCACUGCCUCCUGGAGACCUCUGCUGGGGAGAGGAUGUCCUGCAGCCUCUUGGGAGAGACGCUUGGCUCUGCUGAUUCGAUUCCCCAUAGGGGUACCACAAGCGCCUCAUCAGCAAAGUGGGAAAAAUAAACCUUCCUUGUCGGUGUGAAGAAAAGGGUGGGAAUGUAAGCUGGUGCAUCCACUGUGGCAAACAGUUUGGAGUGCCUCAAAAAACUAAAAGUAGGAUUAAAACACCUUUGCUCCAUCAGAGCUCUGGUCCCCGUGUCUUUCUCUCUCUCUCUCUCCCCCUCUCUCUCUUUCAGGCUGAUCCCCUGGAGCGCAGAGGCUCUCUGAGUUCACUUCCCUCCCCGGGCUUCUAAGGCCCUCUCGAGAAGGCACUCUGCACCUUCACCCCAUCGAGAGGGUGCCUGAGGCCUUUGUGAACAGAGCAAGCCNNNNNNNNNNNNNNNNNNNNNNNNNNNNNNNNNNNNNNNNNNNNNNNNNNNNNNNNNNNNNNNNNNNNNNNNNNNNNNNNNNNNNNNNNNNNNNNNNNNCAAGCCCCAUGCAGGGGCUUUAUUGGCUUUCUGCAUAAACCAAGGAAUAUUAGCCUCUUUCUCUCCUUUACUUUCUUAUCAUUGACUCCGGACCACCAGGUCCAUUAAAGGCCCUCAACAAGUUGCGCCCGAACAGGAGCCUGGUACACUUGGCAGAUCGGACAGAGUGACCUCGAGGGCCUAUUGAGACCGAUUCGACCAAAGGCGGCCCCCAGCAUUCAAAAUGGAGAUGAAACAAGAAUCCCAGGAAGAAGAAAGUCCAAUACGGUCUAUGUCUGCUCUAAAGAUCUCCAGAAAGCACCGCCCUCAGCGGCAUCACCCCUAUGAUCUCCCCACUUGGGGACAAAUAAAAACCCUUACCAAUCGAGCUGAAAAUUUGGUCUCUCAACAGGGAUUGCCUCCGAGUCCUGAAUACAUUCUCCUGGCAAUGUUCAGUCUUUUGGCCUGUACCUCCCCCGCUCGAGCUUAGACUAAUACCCAACCCCCUCUAUUACAGGUGGUCGAAUGGACAGAGAUAGGACCAAUCAUUUCAACUAAUGACUCUACACAUAUGCUUUCUCCCUAGUACAUGAAAGGGCCCUCACACCCUGGGCAGGAAAGAAAACUAAUUAAUAUUUCUUU
ensembl:lncRNA